UAGGGAAUCUUCCACAAUGGACGAAAGUCUGAUGGAGCAACGCCGCGUGAGUGAAGAAGGUUUUCGGAUCGUAAAGCUCUGUUGUUGGUGAAGAAGGAUAGAGGCAGUAACUGGUCUUUAUUUGGCGGUAAUCAACCAGAAAGUCACGGCUAACUACGUGCCAG
rnacentral:rRNA from 1 species